AUUGAACGCUGGCGGCAGGCCUAACACAUGCAAGUCGAGCGGAUGAAGGGAGCUUGCUCCUGGAUUCAGCGGCGGACGGGUGAGUAAUGCCUAGGAACCUGCCUGGUAGUGGGGGAUAACGUCCGGAAACGGGCGCUAAUACCGCAUACGUCCUGAGGGAGAAAGUGGGGGAUCUUCGGACCUCACGCUAUCAGAUGAGCCUAGGUCGGAUUAGCUAGUUGGUGGGGUAAAGGCCUACCAAGGCGACGAUCCGUAACUGGUCUGAGAGGAUGAUCAGUCACACUGGAACUGAGACACGGUCCAGACUCCUACGGGAGGCAGCAGUGGGGAAUAUUGGACAAUGGGCGAAAGCCUGAUCCAGCCAUGCCGCGUGUGUGAAGAAGGUCUUCGGAUUGUAAAGCACUUUAAGUUGGGAGGAAGGGCAGUAAGUUAAUACCUUGCUGUGUUGACGUUACCAACAGAAUAAGCACCGGCUAACUUCGUG
rnacentral:rRNA from 1 species